rnacentral:rRNA from 1 species
CCAUCGGGUAGAGCCGGGCACUCUGGAAGGACUGCCAUGACAGAUGGAGGAAGUGGGGAUGACGUCAAGUCAUCAUGGCCCUUAUGUCCAGGGCGACACACGUGCUACAAUGGCCGGCACAACGGGAAGCGAGUUCGCGAGGACGAGCGGAUCCCUCAAAGCCGGUCGCAGUUCGGAUUGAAGUCUGCAACUCGACUUCAUGAAGCUGGAAUCGCUAGUAAUCGUGGAUCAGCCAAGCCGCGGUGAAUACGUUCCCGGGCCUU